UGGGGAAUAUUGCACAAUGGGCGCAAGCCUGAUGCAGCCAUGCCGCGUGUAUGAAGAAGGCCUUCGGGUUGUAAAGUACUUUCAGCGGGGAGGAAGGGAGUAAAGUUAAUACCUUUGCUCAUUGACGUUACCCGCAGAAGAAGCACCGGCUAACUCCGUGCCAGCAGCCACGGUAAUACGGAGGGUGCAAGCGUUAAUCGGAAUUACUGGGCGUAAAGCGCACGCAGGCGGUUUGUUAAGUCAGAUGUGAAAUCCCCGGGCUCAACCUGGGAACUGCAUCUGAUACUGGCAAGCUUGAGUCACGUAGAGGGGGGUAGAAUUCCAGGUGUAGCGGUGAAAUGCGUAGAGAUCUGGAGGAAUACCGGUGGCGAAGGCGGCCCCCUGGACGAAGACUGACGCUCAGGUGCGAAAGCGUGGGGAGCAAACAGG
rnacentral:rRNA from 1 species